UACGUAGGUGGCAAGCGUUGUCCGGAUUUACUGGGCGUAAAGGGCGUGCAGGCGGUUUGUUAAGUUCAGGGUGAAAGCUCCCGGCUCAACUGGGAGAGGUCCUUGGAUACUGGCAGACUUGAGGAGGGUAGAGGAGAGUGGAAUUCCCGGUGUAGUGGUGAUAUGCGUAGAUAUCGGGAGGAACACCAGUGGCGAAGGCGGCUCUCUGGGCCCUACCUGACGCUGAGAUACGAAAGUGCGGGGAUCAAACAGG
rnacentral:rRNA from 1 species